CCAAGAAGUCUAGCAUGUACGCGAGUCGUAGGGUCUCUCGAAACCUGAAGGCGCAAUGAAAGUGAAGGCUAUCUUUUUCGGUAGCUGAGGUGUGAUCCGGGCUUGACCGUCCGGCGCAACAUCGGCCCGUCUCAUUCCGCAUUGCCGGAGAGGCGGAGCUUGAGCGUACAUGCUGGGACCCGAAAGAUGGUGACCUAUGCCCGAGCAGGCUGAAGCCAGAGGAAACUCUGGUGGAAGGCCGUAGCGGUUCUGACGUGCAAAUCGAUCGUCGAACUUGGGCAUAGGGGCGAAAGACUAAUCGAACCAUCUAGUAGCUGGUUCCCUCCGAAGUUUCCCUCAGGAUAGCUGGCACUCAUAAAUGCAUUUUUAUCCGGUAAAGCGAAUGAUUAGAGGUAUUGGGGACGAAAUGUCCUCAACCUAUUCUCAAACUUUAAAUGGGUAAGACGCUUGCCUCGCUUCAUUGGAGGUGAGCCGUUCGAAUGCGUUGUGCCAAGUGGGCCACUUUUGGUAAGCAGAACUGGCGCUGUGGGAUGAACCAAACGUGUGGUUAAGGUGCCUCAGCUAACGCUUAUGAGAUACCAUGAAAGGUGUUGGUUGAUAAAGACAGCAGGGCGGUGGCCAUGGAAGUCGGAAUCCGCUAAGGAGUGUGUAACAACUCACCUGCCGAAUCAACUAGCCCUGAAAAUGGAUGGCGCUCCAGCGUCAUACCUAUACCACACCGUCGCGGCAAUAUAUUCACCCAGGAUGUGAAGCUGCGAUGAGUAGGAGGGCCGCUGCGGUAUGCGUGGAAGCCUAAGGCGUGAGCCUGGGUGGAGCUGCCGUGGGUGCAGAUCUUGGUGGUAGUAGCAAGUAUUCAAAUGAAAACUUUGAAGACUGAAGUGGAGAAGGGUUCCACGUGAACAGCACUUGAACGUGGGUGAGUCGGUCCUAAGUGAUAGGAGAACUCCGUUCUGAAAUGAGGCAAUUUGUUUUCUCUUGGUCCUAUUUGGGGAGCUUGCCUAAUCCUAUCGAAAGGGAAUCGCGUUAAUAUUCGCGAACUCGGCUGCGGAGAUUGCUCUCUCGGGAGCACAUGUGGUAACACAACCAAACUUGGAGACGCUAGCGGUGGUCCCGGGAAGAGAUUUCUUUUCUUUGUUAGGAACAGAACCCCUGGAAUCGGCUUGUCCGGAGAUAGGGGCGUUGUUGCCGUAAAGCACCGCGGCUCUUGCGGUGUCCGGAGCAUUAUCGUUGGCCCUUGAAAAUCCAAGAGCGGUAUUAUGAUUUUCGUGUCGAGCCGUACCCAUAUCCGC
rnacentral:rRNA from 1 species